CAACUUGUGGUGAGCCGUCCAGUGGACAAGGGUGGGUAGGUUGGUGGACUGGCUUCCUUGUGGACUCUUGGCCCCUUCCCUCCAUACCACCCCAACCUCAGACUCCUCCCUCCUACCCCAGGACCUGGCGAGCACAAAGCCUGGCACCUCGUCUGCUCCAUUCACGAUCAAUGCACAUCAGAGUGACAUAGCCUGUGUGUCUCUAAACCAGCCAGGCACUGUAGUGGCCUCAGCCUCCCAGAAGGGUACCCUUAUUCGCCUCUUUGACACACAAUCCAAGGAGAAACUGGUAGAGCUGCGCCGAGGCACUGACCCUGCCACCCUCUACUGGUGAGCACAGGGUAUGCAUGGUGGGCUGGUGACCCCAUACCACAUGACAUAUGGGCAUCACUGCUGAUCUGUCUUCUAGCAUUAACUUCAGCCACGACUCCUCCUUCCUCUGCGCUUCCAGUGAUAAGGGCACCGUCCAUAUCUUUGCUCUCAAGGAUACCCGCCUCAACCGCCGCUCCGCGUGAG
rnacentral:sRNA from 1 species